GGGAUCGGAGUUCAAGCUUAUCAGUCUGCAAAUAUUUGACAUAAGUCAGACAACCCCAAACCCUAAUGUGAGAGAAUGUCGGCCUACGUCCAAUUCACAUCUCAAAUAAUAUUUUUGUGAUCAAUUUACUCAAAAUGUUGUUCAGAACAUAGCAUGCAGUCUCAAGAGCAUAACCUCAAAAAGAUAUUGGCAAACUCACAAACCCCAUUA
rnacentral:lncRNA from 1 species